AGCGAACGCUGGCGGCAGGCCUAACACAUGCAAGUCGAACGAACUCUUCGGACUUAGUUGCGGACGUCUGAUUAACACGUGGUAACGUGCCUUUUGGUUCGGAAUAACUCAGUGAAACUUGUGCUCAUACCGCAUGUGCUCUUCCCGGGUAAGAUUUAUCGCGAUUAGAGCGGCCCGCGUCUGAUUCGCUGGUUGGUGAUGUAACGGCUCACCAUGGCGACGAUCAGUAGCUGGUCUGGGAGGAGGACCAGCCACACUGGGACUGCGACACGGACCAGACUGGUACGGGAGGGAGCAGUGGGGAAUCUUGCGCGAUGGGGGAAAGCGUGACGAAGCCAUGCCGGGUGAAUGAUGAAGGUGGUAGGAUUGUAAAAUUGUUUGAGCGGGGACGAUAAUGACGGUACCCGGAGAAGAAGCCCCGGCUAACUUCGUG
rnacentral:rRNA from 1 species